UGGCUGAUGAUCUGUUUUUAAACACAUAUGGUGUUGUGAAACCUUCACUGCAAGAUACUAACAUCGUUUUUGUUGGUUUGGGUCCCAUCAAAAGCAGUGCUGCUCUGGAAAUAGCUCAUAAAGCUGGAUUCAAAAAAGCUCGCCAUUACUAUGGAGGUUACAAAGAAUGGUUGACGAAAACCCAUCCAAGACAAACACCACCUGCCUAAUAACAUCCGUAACCUCAAACAUGACAAUAACACCUUUUUACUUAUUGUGGCCAGAAGAUGAAAACUGGAAUGACAUAUUGUCAUCUUCUAUGGAAACCAUCUCUACAGCAUUGGACACAAGGGGUUGGGGGGUGGGGAGAAAACGGACAAGAACAUGGCUUUGAUUCUUGGGUGUAAGAUCUGAUAAAGCAUCACAAUUUAAUACUUUCUUACAAAACCAUUUUUUAAAAAUUCAGUAAAUAUUUAAAUGAAGAGACACUCUCUGGGUUUGUAGAGAUUCUGCUGUUAUUCAAAUAUAUUUAUACACAUGUCUAAAUGCUUCCUCAGAGACACAAAGAUAUUAAAUGUCAACAUUAUUUUUGCUGUCACAGACCCCUUUCCUGUUAUCUCUGUGCAUUAUUCAAAUUACUUUUACCCUUUAAACCUUGAAAUUCCUGAAAACUUUUUGGGAAAUAUUUGCCAUAUUUCUUUCGAAUAGUUCCAGUCACACUUCUCGAGAUGUUUAUUGGAAAAAUAUAGAGUGGGAUACAAUACAACAUGAAUAUCUAUUUCAGUUGGUGGUUUGGAGAACAUUCAGCAUUAGUUCUCUUUGUUCUGUAAGCUUCCUAUGUUUUUUAUAUCAACCUUUCUUGAAUGGAGCUGGAAAACUGUUUAAAGGGCAAAAAAAAGAAAAUCAAAACCUUCAAAUGAACUCCCUUCAGUGUUAUGUCUAAACCUUCUCUGUUGUAACUCUUCGAAACAGUAUCUACUGACAUGCUUUAUAUUUAUGAGAAGAAAAAGAAAAAAAUUAAAUCAAAUUUGGGCUUUCUUAGAUCAUUAAUUCUUCCAGAGAAGUGUCAACAAAACAAGUUUCAUAUUUACUAGCAAAUCCCUUGCAGUUUGUGAAAUUCAUAUAGGAAGCAAGCCAAGCUUACUUCUGUCUGCUACAUGAAAAAUAAAAUAUUGAAGUGAACAAAACUUUGGGAAAUUUUGGAGUGGUUUUGUGCCUUGUUAAAUCUUUUGAUAUCAAAAUUUUUCAUAUUAUUGAAGUUCUUAGGAAACUUACCUUGAGUAUUAAAGUAUAUAGCAUGUAAUUGCUAGAUUUUAAAGUGCAUGGAGAUUUGGAUAUUACAAGCACAAAUUUAAGAAGAAACAGUAACUGGUCCACGAUCCUACAGAAUGCCUGGGUACUUUUUAAUUUUCAUGGGAGGGAAAAAUUUGUCUAACAUAUCGAGGUUAUGAAUUAGAAUGUAAAUGAGUUUUUAGAAGAGGGACACUGGCAGGUACUCUGUAGUGUAAUUAGUCACCUGGGAGAGUGAUUAGAGCUGUGUCUGGAGUCCCUCAGUGGUUCUUGUAGCCUUUCGCCUCUCUCAAAUUGGGGCUGCUAAUGUCUACAUCAGUUUGAUGUCUUGUCUGAAAUUUUUGAAGAUUCAUAUUUCAGCUAUUGCAGGUGGGUGGGUGUAUGGGGCAAAAAAGUUGAAGUUGGGAGGGGGGAAUGAUUUUAAAUACAGGGUAACUUCCAACUUUUUACUGUUGCUUGCUAAUAAUAAUUUGAUCCAUGUACAAACUGAAAAUAAAAUCUAUCCAUUUGAAAAUUCUGUUUACAACAAAA